GGGUGUGAUCUUUUGAGUUUAGCAUUGUAUAGCGAGGGAAAAUCGGUUAAAAUGCCAUUUUUUCGAGAGCUAAGAAGAUACCAGAUUGGCCAGGACAAGGCGUGCAUCAUAGUCGUCUGCAGUACUGACCAUUUCUGGAGUGCUGAAGCAACGUGGUCGAUUCAUACCCACUUGUAGCAUUUCACGCAUGAGUAAUAAUUUUCACGUUCUUUCUUUCGGGAAGGGAGGAUUAGAAAAAUCUUAUUGAUUGCAGCUGUUUCCAAACCUCCGGGAAAAGCAUGAAAAGAAAACUUAUGAUACGGUCCCUCUGUCACUUCAAAAGUGAAAGGAGCGAUCUUGUAAUUCUUGGUCUAUGAAGUACAUUGUUAGCUUCUCUGUGUUUGAUUUUCCCAUUGAGGCCAAACCUCCGCGGUGUGCACAAACAUCUUUACUUCCAAACGGAUUAGGAUUCUCUUC